UCAGAGUAGUGUGCACUUGAUUGAAUGGAAGUCCCGUAUUUUUUUUAAUAGCUUCUGAAUGAACUGGUUCAUUAAUCGCAUCAUGGUUUUUAGCAUGUCGUAAGGUGAAGGGACAUGUGGCACUACUUUUUAAUAGUCUAACAUGGAGGGGGCAAGCAGCCUGUGCUUAGUUGGUAGCUUCCUGGUCAGCCUUGUUUGUGUCGCGGUUUAUAUCGUGUACACAGAGCUGUACCCGAAUAUUGUCGUUAUCACUGGAAAACCUCCGAUUAGUAAGAUCACAUUUGCUUACAAGUUCAAACAAGGGUCUUACAAGGAGUGUGUGCAUCUUUUAAAGGAAAGUCACAUUUUGGCUCCAAAGCUGUCCUGCCUCGGAGUGUAUUAUGAUGACCCUAACAAGGUGCCUGGACCAGAGUGCCGCUAUGCUAUAGGCUGUAUCCUCAGUGAAGGAGAGAAGAAGGCCGACACAGAGCUUCUCGUUCGCUGUGAACAAUCUGGCUUCAAUGUGUGCUCCUUCCCAGAGGUCACACAUGUGGUCACGACAUCACUGACCUGCGGGAGAGUGUUCUCUGUUCUCCUGAGAGUGAAAAGAGUCUAUCUACAGUUAGCUCUUUUCAUCAAGGAAAGACGGCUCUGUGCUCAUCCCUUCCUGGAGAUAUACAGAGAGGGCUUCAUCCAAUUCAUGGUGCCAUUGGCUCGACAGGGAGACUUCUAUGUACCUGAGGUCCGGCAGGCGCAGAGAAGACUGUCGGAAGACUCACAGUCAGACUCAACAAUAUCAGGUGAAGACUCGAACAGCGAGUACUCCUCGGGGAGCGGGAUUCUCCUGUCAGACAGCAGAGAAUCGUCCUUGCUUCGCUCCCCGUCUGCCCACAGUUGGGAGGAGAGUGACCACCGAGGAUCCAGCGCCGGGGGAAGUUUGUGUAAAGAGGCCGCCUGGGUGGAUGCCGAAUCACAUCAGAAAGAAACACCUGCUAAACCUAAUGAGGACUCAAUUCAGAAGCACUUUGAAGUUCCACAUCAGAACAUACUAGGCUCGGUUGCAGACGAAGAGUGAGCUGCUUUGUUCAGCUCAGACUUUUGUCUGAUUUGGUGUUUUGAUGAUCGGUGUUCAAGUCAGUCUCAGGCCUGCUCAGAAGCGCUGUGUUCAGUAUUCAUGCAGUGACUUUUUUUUCCUCAUAAAAGGAUCUGUUUGGUGCUCAAGAGAGUGAAAUGAGACUUCCUGCUGAUGAUGAUUUGCGACAUUCAGGUCAGUAGUAAACCCAACUAAUAAAAGUUGGAUACUUCAGUCUCUUGAAAAACCUGAACAGUGUGUUUGUUUUGUUGUUGUUGUUUUUUACCCUCCUCAGGAACCCAAAUGUUUCCAAUGCUUUGAAUGCAGCAUGAGUGAGACCUGGCUGCCUUGAAGUUUUCAUGUUAUAUCUAAUUGUUCUUGAGUGUGACUGUUGUGUUUUCCACAAAUCUUUACAUGACCUGUCAAAAUUCAACAAGAGACUGAUAUAUAAACUUGCAGGACCUCUUAAAACACCUAUCUACCAAUGUUUUUACUAGUAGCUGAAGAGACUGGUUCAGGUUUGUUUGAAUCGAUGUAUCUCUUCAGAAUAUUCAUCGUAUUGGACUGACACAUUUUUCACAUUAAUAACUGCAAAACCGAUUUUUAAAAAGAAACCACUCUACGCAGUAGUCACUUUAGCUUUACAUCAUAACCAAAUGAGGAACUUCACAGCUGCAGGCAACAAAGGGAAUCUUUUUUUGAGUCCAGGAUCCUUUCAAUGAACCAAAUCUCUCACAUUCAGAUUACUUAUCAGGUCAGUUUAAUGCGAUAUUGCAGAUUGCUGUAAGCGAUCAGCAUCCAGUCAAUGAAUGCAAUAUUAUCCAAUGUAUUUGCGGACUUGGCAGAGUGGUUAGUUAAACUGGAGGCGUGGUCUAGAACAAGACAACAAAACCCGCCUCUCACUCCCGAUAAAGCAGUUUGAAUAUGUCAUUUUUCCUGUAAAUACUUGAAUAUUCCAUCAAAAGGAACAUAUUCCAGUGCUCCAGAGGGAGUGAGGAAGAUAGUGACCCCACACAUUCAAUGCAUCAGAAUGUCAUGUCCUUUUACACUUGACCAUCACCAUUUAUCAGAGCUACGUUUUUCAUAGCGGAUAACCAAAAAGUGUCAUGACCUUACUCAAAUAUUACUUAACUGAGGAGUGUUAUCGCUCAAUAUAAGGAGUGGGGAGUCAUGUUUUAUUUUUAUGUUACAGUACACAACUCCUGCCAAGGUCCAGAUGAAAAUAAAAUGUUCCUGUGUGCACUGCCUUUAGUCCCAUAGAUGGUUUUGAAAUCAAGCACAUGAAGAUAAAAUGCUUUGUUGAGGACUGAAUGUUUUACAGCUGCUUGUUUAAAUUCCACUCAAGUUGUUUUUAGUGUUAGUAUAUUCCAAAAAAGAUUACCUUUUGUAAGAACAUUGGAGUGUGUUUCUUAUGAUGUUUUUAAAUAAACGUUUUCAAAUCAAGUGCCUCUUACAAUGAAAGCUUCCAAUUACAAUGCCUUGUUUCAUUAUUGAAUAAUAAUGUUAUGAUAUAAAGACGGCAAAACAACUUUUCUGGUGUGUCACCCAUUUCUGCCUUUUUUUGUUUUUUUAUUCUUUCUCCAACUGGCUAUGAAGUGAACAUGGCAGCUGCCGAAUGGAGGACCACCUGAUGACCUGCUGCCUGUGAUGUACGUCCAAACGCAGUCAUCUCCUUUAUCUUCCAAAAAAAAACAAGGGAUCACAAUGAGAAGCUCGCAACAGGACUCUUUCAUCAAUAUGCAGGAACUACAAAGAGAAGACAAGUGUGAGUGAGGAGGUAAUCAAUGUUUUAGCAAAUGGCCUUUUAGAUAUUAUGAUCACCCUUGAUCAACACAAAAAUACCUCUUUUGAUCAUGACAUUACUUCUGAGGCACAUCCGUAAAUUUCGAUGCCUUUAAAGUUCUAAUGUCACCUAUUCCUCUGUGGCUUUGUUUUAAAGGUUUUUCCAUUUUUUCAUUUUUCUUUUUUUAGAGAACUUUCUAGUUUAAUGAUGACCUGAUCAAUAUUUUAUAAUAAGUAUAAAUAAGAAUAUACCUGCAGAAUAUGCAAAGAAAUGAUUUAGAAUUAAAUUUAAAUUUCAGCAUUUUUUUCUCAGUUGUGUUUGUUUUGCAUUAUUGCUGAGAAGCAGGCUGUUGAGGCGACACACUGUGACAGAAAACAGAGAAGAAAGAAUGGUGCACGUGCUAAAACGCUCGAGCACUGUGUCCAAAAACUACAAUACUAACAUGACGAGCCAAAGAAAAACGAUAUCAGAGUCGUUGGUGUCAGAAAGGGAAGAGUAGUUAAUGUGUUCAUUUUUCAAAUCCCUGGUGGGAAGAAUGUACACUACGUUGUCGUUCGCCAUUUUUGUUUUGAAGCGACAACUUUUGAGGUCAGAUAGGCAGUUAUAUGACAUCAUUUAUGACCAUGAUGUCAUAGUUGCUUGACUUGACCGACACUAUCUUUAGCAGUACACAUGACAAUUUUUGGGCUGGUUUUGUCCCAUUUUUUCCCCAGAUUAAUUUCUUUCUUGUGAGAUCAUCCUAAAUGAUAAUUCAGUUAUUCUUCAAAAUGUGUGCAAGGCAUGCGUCCGAUGCUUUCCACAUUUUGGGUCACCAUGAUCCCGUCAUUUCUCCUCUUACCACGAAUUGUGCAAAGAGAGCGAUGUCAACACGACUGGUCGACUCAGACCUGUCGGCCCUGGCGAUGUUUAUUCUCCACCUGGCACCUUUCUCUCUUGGAGGACGAGCAUCUAACAAGAGUGGUGUGCUGUGUUGAGUUUAUCAGGGUGCAACACAGACAUUCCAGUUAUCUUCAUGUGUGAGAUCUGACAGACCAUCAGAGCAUGUCGCCGUCUUCAUUGGCAGGUAAGGACUUUACUCCUUGAUACCCUUGCUAGUACGAAAUCAGAUCAAGUUAGCCAACUCCCACACAUCUUCCUGUCUGUUUUGGAGUAUUUUCUGACUACAAACCAGCAGGUUCUGUCACAGGUCCUCAGUUGGUUGGCAGAGGUGAUGAAUAGUCAUUUUACUGCUUCUUUAAACUCCGUAAUAAAUCAAAUUAUACAAGACAAAUCUCAAUGGGCUCAAAAAUGUUCUAAAUUCCAAGAGUGUGACCUUGCUCAUUCUUUCCAAACUGCGGUCUAACUCCUAACUUGCAAAGCAAAGAAACAGCUAGCAGCCUGCUAGCAUCACAUUAUGUACCUCCAUUUACUUAAAAAUUGGAGCUCCCCACUUUUAAUAGGCCCCAUGCUGACCUCUCCUCUCUCAAAUGUUCUACAAAUAAGAGGAUCUAUAUCUGUCGAAUACAAAUGAGUAUAAAUGCUUUGGUGCUCCAGGAUGGGGUUGAAUCCUCAGAGGACAUGAGUAAGCGAGAUGGAUGCGCUUUGAAAAUGUGGAAGAGCCCCGAGGUGUUCUAUACGUUUUUGUUUUUUUUUCAUGUCGCUUAUUGCAGCCAGACGCACAAGUAAAUCAAACCAAAAGGGCCAUGUGCAGUGGCACACGGUUGAUUUUCCAUUUCACCUCAUUUAUCCGGAGAUAGAGAAUAUGUUGACGUUAAAUCAUGAACAAUUACGUGAUCAGAUCACAUGGAUUCUGUCACAUUCUCUCUAUACACUAUAGAUCUAUGCUGAUGCGUCGACUGGUCUACUGCUCUUCCCACAAACUCACAGUGAAGAAGCCGUCAAUAAGUGUUGUUUUCAAACCGGAUGCGCCUCUAACUUGACCCCGUACCUUCACGACAGAACAGUGGAACGUUCCUCGUGUCGGACCCACGAUACCAAAGAUUGUCCGCACUGCAGAGCUAACGGCUAACGUGACAUCUCACUUCAAAACUUUGACACUCGUAGACUAUAGAAGUUUGCUCUGUUGUUUGAAAGCGGGCUAAAUACUAAAUACAGAACCAAAUAAAUGCGCUCCAAAAUGUGAAGAGAGAAAGAACAAUUAUAGUUAUAAAGUUGAGGUGAAUCAUGUGAAGGAUUUGUCUUGAAAUUCCCCGAAGUAGAAAUGAAUCAUGCAAAACUGAUUGUGAUAAAAUUAUUUAAAAUAAUGAAAUCUUGAUAUAUUUUGCCUACCUCUUUCUGGGGACAUUUUUAAACAUUUUUAACAUGUGAAGGUAGCUGAGCCAGUAGCGAUAUUGUUUCUCAGAUUAAAAGGGAUUUUCAGAUGGACUUUUGACAAAGCACAAUUGCGCUUUUGCCGAUGUUCCAUUGGUGGUGAGCCUGUGUGUAUGUGAUGUUUGUGUUUCAUCCACAUUAGAAAGGUAAUAUUUCACUGUAUGGGGGAAACGUGAAACACUAGUCUUUUUGGUAAACAGUGCAGCAGUUCAUGCAGCGCUAUUUUUGUGGCGUUGUCAAGUCGCACUUGUCCACCAACCUGAAAUAUUCUGAGGCUAUCUGACCUCUCGCUCUCGACAUGCAGCACACUGAGAGGUGUGGUUGGACUCAUUCCAAAUCUGCAGCUUUUCAGUGGAUCAGGUCAUUUUUUUGUUGUUGUUGAAUAUGUAACUGGGGCUGGUCCAGCUUUGAAAUGUCCUUCAUGGUGAAACACUCUACACCUGCUCUCAAUUGUGGCAGCUGCACCUCGACCAGUUCAGUGACCUACACCCGUGUAAGACUUGGGAAUGGCCCAGUCCUGAACCCAUGAGACGGACACUGUUGAGAAACCGCAGCAUGUAUUGAAUUAGGCAAUAAUAUAAUGCAUGUCUAUAACUUAUCAUACACAGACUUGUAGCUAGCUGUGGUUAAACUUGCUGUAUCCUCAUGGCCACUGUACAGGCAUACGCACAAAUGUUCAAAGGAAAGUGCAAUAAAACAGCUCUUCCUCGGUCCAUUUAAGUUGAAGUCUGAGAGUCAGUGGGAUGGUUUGGACUUAUAUGGGAUCUUACCGCCGAGUGUAAGGUUUAUGUGAUUAGAAAUAAAUUGGAAAAGCCGCGGGGCAGUCAGAGAUGGGAUUGCAAUACUUGGGUCAAUGGAGCUGUGAGCUUUCGUUAGCCACAAAGUGGAAACACACCUGUGCUUGUUUUUGUUUUCCUGGAGAGUGUUUCAGAAUUAAUGAAUGUUCUUCUUCCCCUUGGCCAUCGAGCGUCCUGCCAGUUUUCAAAUUACUGUGGUUUGGUAUUUGUGGUUUGACGUGUGAUACUCCAAUGGGCCAGGUUUGUGAUGCUCGUGCUGUGAGGAUGCAGUCUCUGUGUGGAUGGGAGCGCCCUUCAAAUCUGCAUGUUUACUCAGCAUUACGAGAUCAGUCAAGUCUAUGACAUCACCUGUAAGACUUGCACCCUCUGCUCCUGUUGAAUACAUGCAAACAACUAUAAAAGCAGCUGGAGCUCCUGCUCGUACACCAAGUCAAAAGAGACAAAACAAAAAAAGGAAAUGAAAAGUUCAUGUUUUCCUUUUUUUCAUUGCAGGUUUAACGACUAUCUCUUUCAUCAUCCAAGGAAAUCAAUUCUGCUCUUGAACUGUAAGAUGGUGGCAGAAUACACAAGUGAGUUGCUAGGAAAAAAGUUUUAACCCCUGCUGGCCAAGAAGAUAACUGCAACAACAUGGUGGCUCGGACACCUCAGCCUGAGAAGGGAAAAACACGACGGUAACUGGAGGCGCUAAUAUUGAGACAUGGACAGUGAGGCUGGUGGGGCCCCUGACCUCAGGGUGCGGAGGUAUGGAGACAGCAAAGUCGAUGUUGAACAUCCUCUCCUGCCUCUCCUGGGACUGUAUCGUCUCCAACCAAGAGCACGGCACCUGCUGCAUCUGGUCUGCAUCGGAAUCAUCCCGCCAUCUCAGCAAACAAGAUAUUAUACCUGUGACCCUGGAGCCUCGUCUGAAGGAAGCUCACCAGAAACUUUAUAAUUCUAUUCUAAAUCAUUCUUACAGCAGUCAACUCAAUUAUUCAUCAAUUUCAGGUUACAUCCUGCUGUAAAUCCACAGAUCACACUGGUUGACCUGAAGAGGUGCCACACAGCCAACUAUUCCUCAAUGGUAUGAUUCGCUCUUCACUGCAUGUACUUCAAGAAAAAGGCGGUGCCAUACAUUCGUACUGAAUGCAACUUGGCAACACUUGUCGAGCUAUUUGCUCCUUACUCCACUGCCUCUCAGUCAAGAAAGUAGGAAAAUUUGCUUGGGUUUAAAGUUAAUGUCCAUUGACUGUAGAAGUGG